rfam:Ailuropoda melanoleuca scaffold1845_23, whole genome shotgun sequence.
ACCUGGCUGGCUCAGUCGGGAGAGCAUGAGACUCUAGUUCUCAGGGUUGUGAGUUCAAGCCCCAUGUUGGAUG